rnacentral:rRNA from 1 species
CAAUAGCGUAUAUUAAAAUUGUUGUAGUUAAAACGUUCGUAGUUGUAUGUCUGUUAUGCGUCUGAAUGGUCCGCUUCGGUGUGUGCCGUUCGUCCAUGACAUCCGUUUGCACAAUUCGUUGAGCAAACCGUUCACUUUGAGGAAAUUAGAGUGUUCAAAGCAGGCGUUGCCUUGAAUACUUCAGCAUGGAAUGAUAGAUAGGACUUCCGUUCUAUCCGUUGGUUCUAGGGGCGUGAGGUAAUGAUAAAUAGGGUCGGUCGGGGACAUUCCUACUGAGCAGUCAGGGGUGAAAUCCUGUAAUUUGCUCAUGAGGCACUACUGCGAAAGCAUUUGUCAAGGACGACCCCAUUA